rnacentral:rRNA from 1 species
AGCACGGGGGCAACCCUGGUGGCGAGCGGCGAACGGGUGAGUAACACAUCGGAACAUGCCCAGUCGUGGGGGAUAACACUUCGAAAGAAGUGCUAAUACCGCAUACGUCCUGAGGGAGAAAGCGGGGGAUCGCAAGACCUCGCGCGAUUGGAGUGGCCGAUGUCAGAUUAGCUAGUUGGUGGGGUAAAGGCCUACCAAGGCAACGAUCUGUAGCUGGUCUGAGAGGAUGAUCAGCCACACUGGGACUGAGACACGGCCCAGACUCCUACGGGAGGCAGCAGUGGGGAAUUUUGGACAAUGGGCGCAAGCCUGAUCCAGCCAUGCCGCGUGCGGGAAGAAGGCCUUCGGGUUGUAAACCGCUUUUGUCAGGGAAGAAACG